rnacentral:lncRNA from 1 species
ACAGUUGGAAGCCUGGAAAAAGUUUCCAGGCAGACUGUGGAGGAAGGCCCAGAGAACUGAGCGUGCCAGUUGGAUCUGCUCUCCCCAACCUGAUUCUCAGCAGGAUCUGGAGGAGACUCAUGUACCAAGACGCCAAGGAGUCGCUUGUUUAGAAGCGCUUGGCCUGGGUGGGCAUCCCUAUGAGCUGGAGGGGACCAGGCUGCAGAGGCUCUCAUGGGAGUUCUGUGGCUGGAAGUGGGUUGUUGGUGCAACUUGAACCCGAAGUUGAGUUCAUUCAUUAUCCCAGGAAAGGGCCAUCAGUUAGAAAGGGAACUCAUACUUUCAAGACCAGCCUGCUUUCAAGGUGUCAACUGAUCGUGUAGACAAUGUCUCAAAAAA